GGACUAGUGGUUUAGUGGUAGAAUAGUACCCUACCACACUAUAGGACCUGGGUUCGAUUAUUCCCGGCUGGUGCA
rnacentral:tRNA from 1 species